UUGCGGUCCUUAGGCGAUGUGGUUGGAGAGGGUUGAGUCGUAGUUGGACUACUAUCACCGAUUUUAUUACUAACAGCUCUUGCCCCAAAUUUCUAAACAGUCUUCUGCAUUUUGGAUUUGUAAUUGUGGUCUAUAGGAUUUGGCAAGAACGGAAUGCUAGAAUUUUCACUCAAGUAGCUAUCCCUGUUCGGAUCAUUAUCCAAGAUAUUAUUCACUUGCUUAAGUGUGGUCUCCAUACUAAUGCUCGGUUUCAAAGAAUUAAAUCCAAGUUAUGCUAUCAACAUCUUGCUCUGUAAUCUGUAAUUUGUUAUCGGUUUCUGAUUUAUGGUUUCCUAGCUUGAUAUAUAGCUUCAUCUAUGUGUAUUCUGC
rnacentral:lncRNA from 1 species